rnacentral:rRNA from 1 species
AUGCUGACGGUCAAGAUCGUCGAAUUCGACAGCGUCGCCCCGCCACCGGAGGACUUGUUACUCAGGCUGUCCGCGCUGGAAGCACCGUGGGUCGUGCUCCCGGUAAUCCAGCGUGUGUUCCUCUUCGACGACGCCGGCGGCCAGCACCCACCCUUCGCAUCUCUCGUCGGCUCCCUCCGCGCGUCACUGGAGGCCACGCUCGCGCGGCUUCCCCCGCUCGCCGGCAGGAUCGUCUUCCUGCCGUCCACCGGCGACGCCGCAAUCGACUGCUCCGCCUCCGAGGGAAGCGGCGUGCGGUUCAUCAUCGCGGAGAGCGACGACGCGGACGCGGGGCGGCUGGCCGGGGACGCGGACCACGACGUGGACGCGUUCAAGGCGUUCGUCCCGAAGCUCAAGGUCGACGCGCUCCCCGCGGAGGUGCUGGCUGUGCAGGUCACACGGCUGAAGGGUGGGGUGGCGGUCGGCGUGGUGAUGCACCACGCCGUGGUCGACGGCCGGUCGGUGUGGAGGUUCCUUCAGGCGUGGGCGGCGGCCUGCCGCGGGGACGACGCUGCCGCAGAGGCGGUUGUGGCCGGCCUGACGUUCGACCGCGCGGUGAUUGCGCUCCCCGGCGGCGAGGAGCACACGAGGAGCACGCUGCGUAAGUACGCACCAAAUCUGCCGCUGGAAAUCAACCUGUUUCCGAACGCCCCAAUUAAUCGCCGGACGUUCACCGUCACCGCGCAGCAGAUUCACCGCCUGAAGCAACGCGUUUCCGGCCACACUGCCCCCGCGCAGGCCGGUUCCACGCCCGCGCCGUCCAGCUUCGUGGCCGUCGUGGCGCUCGCCUGGGUGUCCUUCGUCCGGUCCAAGCACCCGGCCGUCAUCUCCGCCGACCACGACGUGUACGUCUUCUUCUUCAUCGACUGCCGCGGGCGGCGCGGCAUCGACCCACCCGUGAGCCAGAACUACUUCGGGACGUGCAUCACCGGGUGCCUCGCCAAGGCCACGGCGCGGGACCUCCUAGCCGUAGAUGGUUUCGCAGCCGCCACGGCGGCGGUGCAGCGGGAGGUCCGGCGAGCGGCCGAGGACCCGCUCGCCCUUUGGGACUGGAUGGACCUGCUGUCGUGGAUGCCAAUGGACCGGUUGGUGAACAUCUCCGGGUCGCCGCGGUACCCGGCGUACGAGGUGGCCGACUUCGGGUGGGGCGCGCCGAGUAGGACGGAGCUGAUCACCAUGAACAACUGCGGGCAGGUGGUGCUCGUGGCCGCCAAGGGUGGCGGCGGCAGCGUGCAGGCAUCCGUGUGCAUGCACCCGGAUCACAUGGGCGCGUUCAAGUCGCACUUUCUUAAUUCCUUGUCAGGUUGA